rnacentral:rRNA from 1 species
AAGUCCCGUAACGAGCGCAACCCUUAUCCUUAGUUGCCAUCAGUUCGGCUGGGAACUCUAAGGAGACUGCCGGUGACAAACCGGAGGAAGGUGGGGACGACGUCAAGUCAUCAUGGCCCUUACGACCUGGGCUACACACGUGCUACAAUGGACGGUACAAAGGGUUGCCAAGCCGCAAGGUGGAGCUAAUCUCAUAAAACCGUUCGUAGUCCGGAUCGGAGUCUGCAACUCGACUCCGUGAAGUCGGAAUCGCUAGUAAUCGUGAAUCAGAAUGUCACGGUGAAUACGUUCCCGGGCCUU